ensembl:lncRNA
CAGCCUGGGCAGCAGAGCGAGACUCCCUCUCAAAAAAAGGAAUGAAAUGGGCCAGGUGUGAUGCCUCAUACAGGUAAUCCUAGCAUUUAGGAGGCCAAGGCAAGAGGAUCACUUAACUUCAGGAAUUUGAGACCAGGCUGGGCAACAUAGGGAGACCCCAUCUCUACUAAAAAAUUUUAAAACUUAGCCCAGUGUGGGAGAGUGUGCCUGCAAUCCCAGCUAUUAGGGAGCUGAGGUGGGAGGAUCACCAGUAUCUGGAAUGUCGAGGCUGCAGUGAGCCGCAAUUGUGCUACUUGCACUUCAACCUGGGUGACACAGUGAGACCCUGUAAAAGAAAUCUACCUAGGCUUAUAAAAUAGUAAUUACAAAAUGGUUGCUUUCGUUGGAGAUGGAAAGAAGAAGUAGAGAAGUUGUCAUUUACCAUGCCCUCAUAUUUAUGGUCUUAAAUAACUGGGCUUUAGGAUAUAUUAAUAUAUAACUUAUGAUUCAGAAAAUCCCAUGUAAAAGCUUAGUAGCAUUGUUGUAACAGUAACAUAUUUCAUUGUACUUCAGGAUCGUCCAGGGAUGCAGUCUUACCAUCCAGGAGCUCAAAGCCACUAUCAACACUAUUUUCCUGAUGACAGCACCAACUAUAGAUACUCACCAGUAGAAGAAAAGCAGGAUUGUCCAUGGAUGCAGCGUUACCAUCAAGGAGCUCGAGGCCGAGGUCGACUCUGGCACCCUGUUGACAAGUCUAGAGAUUCAGCAGUAGAAAGAAACCAGGAUCAUCCACGGAUGCAGCGUUACCAUCCAGGAGCUCGAAGCCGAGGUCGACUCUGGCACCCUGAUGACAAGUCUGGAGAUUCAGCAGUAGAAAGAAAGCAGGAUCAUCCAGGGAUGCAGCGUUACCAUCCAGGAGCUCGAAGCCAAGGUCGACUCUGGCAUCCUGAUGACAUAACCAAGUCUGGAGAUUCAGCAGUAGAAAGAAAGCAGGAAAGUGGUAUUAGCCAUACAAAAGAAGAGGAGAGGCCAGGUGUGAUGGUUCACGCCUGUAAUCCCAGCACCUUGGGAGGCUGAGGCGGGUGAAUCACCUGAGGUCAGGAGUUCGAGACCAGCCUGGCCAAUAUGGUGAAACCCCGUCUCUACUGAAAAUAUAGGCAUGGUGGCAGGUGUCUGUAGUCCCAGGUACUUGGGAGGCUGAGGCAGGAGAAUCGCUUGAACUCAGGAGGCAGAGGUUGCAGUAAGCCGUGAUCUUGUCACUGCACUCCAGCCUGGGCAACAGAGCAAGACUGUCUCAAAAAAAAGAGAAGAAGAGUAGAGGACUGUGCAGCAAGGAGUAAGUUUUGCCUCAAAGCAGGAAUCUGAUCAGAGGUUCAGAAUUGGAAGUACAAUUUCAUUGUUUUUGCAAUUUCUAUAAAUUAAAGUGUCAGAAAAAAGGUGACAGUGAGGACAUGCAUUGCAAUUUGCAGGGGGAAGUGUCAAGUGAGGACUUCGUCACAUAUGACAUGAGAGAAAAGUAAGAGCUGGUUCUAAAAUCAAAAGCUGUUGUUCAUCCGAGAUUGAGUUUCUAAAUUUCGGUGGAGCAGAGUCGCUUUGAAGUCUUGUUCCAAUCUAUUUCUACUGAAUUGUUAAUGAUAACUGUUGACUUUGGGUAGUAUAGAAGCAACAAGCAUGUCCUUAUAGUACAAGUACAGGGAAGGAUAGAACAAACUUUCAUUGAUGCAAACAUUUAAAUAGUCAUGUUACUUCCGUAUCCAAUAUCCUCAAGUUUUAGGAUUAGUUUUAGUUUUUUAUUUGCUUAUCUAAGCUUGGCAUGAAGAAUAUUUUUAAACAUCUCAUUUCGUCUGAGCAUUUUUUCUAUUAAGAGGUGAAAUGUAGUCCUUGUUUGAUUCUUGACAAUCCAGUGUGUGUUUGAUCUUAGGUCUCAUGAUCUGAGUGCAUACCCUCUCCAGGAAGGAAACUGCACCAAUGUCUGUUCCUGUUAAAUAGCAACUUUUAGUCUCAGCUUGUUUUGUUUUGAUGUCAAUAAAUAGUAACAGCAUUCAAGUCUGAAGCUAAGUGUAGUGAGUAACUUUAGUAAAUAGCUGUGAAUUUUGAGAAAUUAAUUUUUUGAUACUGAAUUAACCUCUUUGGAGUUUGGAAAGCAGAUGAAUGAUAUUAGUUUCUGCCUUCACUAGCAUGCCUUUGUUUUGUCCACCAGGGAAUGAUCAGUUCAUGGUUCACUCCUGUAUUAGGCCGUCCUUGCAUUGCUAAAAAGAAACACCUGAGACUGGGUAGUUGAUAAGAAAAGAGUUUUGGCCAGGCACGGUGGCUCAUGCCUGUCAUCCCAGCACUUUGUAAGGCGGAGGUGGGAUGACCACUUGAUGUCAGGAGUUCAAGACCAGCCUGGCUAAUAUGGUGAAACCCCGUCUCUACUAAAAAUACAAAAAAAAAAUAACCGGGCAUAGUGGCACGCUCCUGUAAUCCAAGCUGUUCGGGAGGCCAAGGCAAGAGAAUCGCUUGAACCCAGGAGGCAGAAGUUGCAGUGAGCCAAGAUCGCACCACUGCACUCCAGCCUGGGGGACAGAGCGAGACUCCAUCUCAAAAAAAAAAAAAAAAAAAGAAAAGAAGUUUAAUUAGUUCACAGUUCUGCAGGCUGUAUAAGCAUGGCAUCUCACAUUGCUCAGCUUCUGGGAGGCCUCAGGGAGCUUUUACUCAUGGCAGAAGGUGAAGCAGGAGCAGGCAUCUCACAUCACGGAGUGAGCAAGGGAGUGCAGGGAGGAGAUGCCACACUUUACAACAACCAGCUCUGUAAGAACUCACUGUGGAGAGGACAGCACCAAGCCAUGAGGGAUCUGCCCCAUAACCCAAACACCCCACCAGGCCCCACCUGCAACACUGGGGAUUAUAUUUCCAUGAGAUUUGGGUGGGGACAAAUAUCCAAACCACAUCAACUAUUCUGGUCCCAUAAGAACAAAAUGUUUAGACAACAUCCUUGAGCUUUUGCCUGAUUUUCAUUCAUUCUGCCAGCCCUUCCUAACAUGGCAUCAGUUUGCCUUUACUUUCUAAAUCACCACUUUAUGUUUGUCCAGGUUUUAGAAACAAAUAGCUGAAGAGGCAGGUACAAGAGCCACCAAUAAUGACUGAAAGUGAAUGAUUGUCAACUGGGCAAGAGUACUAAGGGAAGGGAAAAUUUCAAGAAGGAAAUUGGCUGACAAUGUCCCAUGCCACAGAGAGAUUAAGGAAGACAAGAAAUAGAAGUGUUCAUUGGAUUUGGCAGUCGUGAUUUCAUUAGUGAACUAAUGAAACUGAUGUCCUACAAGAGACAGAAACCAUGUUACAGUGAGGGGUGAAUGGCAGGUGGGAAAUGGAUGUAUGUUUGGAACUCAUCUGUUUUUCGGUGGUCAUUGAAGUCAUGGCCAUGGAUUCUGUCACUUAAGAGGGAGAGUGAAGUAGGAACAGAAGCAGACACCUAGGGCCCAACCUCGAAAAACUAACAUUACAUAGAGGUAAGGAAAUGUAUCUACAAAGGCAGAGAAGGACUAGCCAGAGAGUAGGAGAAAAACCAGAAGACUCUGGGUUACUUAAUCCAAGAGAAAACUGUUUCAAGGAAGAGGAGUGGCCAGCAGGGUUGGAUGCUGUGGAAUGGUCAAUUAUGAUGCCUGACAAAGGCCAUGGCAUUCAGUGACUUGCAAAUCACUGAUGCCCUAGAAUUAUGGGGCAGGGAAGUCAGAUUGGGUUGAGAAUAGAAAAGAUAUACACAACUUUUUAGAGAGGUCUGAGGGAUCUUCAAAAGUUUGUGGACGCUUAGUUCUACUCUGAGGCCUCCUUCACAUUCUCCUGAACAUAUCAAUGUGUAAUUAUCAGAAAGAAUCAUGGCUUGCAAUUAGUUCCUAGGUGGAUUUUUUCUUUUUCUUUAAGACGGAUUCUUGCUCUGUCACCCAGGCUGGAGUGCAGUGGUGGCAUCUUGGCUCACUGCAACCUCCACCUCCUGAGUUGAAGAAAUUCUCCUGCUUCUGCCUCCCAAGUAGCUGGAUUAUAGACACCUGGCACCACACAUGGCUAAUUUUUGUAUUUUUUGUAGAGACAGGGUUUCACCAUGUUGGCCAGGCUGGUCUCCAAUUCCUGACCUCAAGUGAUGUGCACACCUAAACCUCUCAAUGGGCUGGGAGUACAGGCAUGAGCCACUGGGCCCAGCCUGGAUAUAUAUUUUUUUCUUUUGAGGUAAGGUUUCUAUCUGUCACCACCACUGGAGUACCAUGGCACAAUCACGGCUCACUGCAGCCUUGACCUUCUGGGUUCAGUUGACCCUCCCACAUCAGCCUCCUGAGUAGCUGGGAAUAUAGGCAAAGGCCACCAUGCCCAACUAACUUUUGUAUUUUUUGUCAAGACAGGGUUUUCCCAUGUUGCCCAGGCUAUCUCAAACUCUUGGGCUCAAGCAGUCCGCCCCCCUUAGCCUCGCAAAGUGCUGGGAUUACAGGUAUGAGCCACUGUGUCCAGCCUGAUGGAUUUUUUUUUUUGAGACUGAGUCUCCCUCUGUCACCAGACUGGAGUGCAGUGGCGCAAUCUCGGCCCACUGCAACCUCCGCCUCAGGGUUUCAAGUGAUUCUCCUGCCUCAGCCUCCCGAGUAGCUGUGGAACUUCAAGCAUGCACCACCAUGCCCAGCUAAUUUUUGUAUUUUUAAUAGAGACAGGGUUUCACCAUGUUGGCCAGGAUGGUCUCGAUCUCUUGACCUUGUGAUUCGUCCACCUCAGCCUCCCAAAGUGCUGAUAUUACAGGUGUGAGCCACCGCGCCCGGCCAUGGACUUUUAAAAGAACAGACAAUGGGUGCAGUGACUCACGCCUGUAAUCCCAGCAUUUUGGGAGGCCAAGGCAGGUGGACCACCUGAGGUCAGGAGUUCAAGACCAGCCUGGCCAACAUGGUGAAACCCC